GAUGAAGAACGCAGCGAAAUGCGAUAAGUAGUGUGAAUUGCAGAAUUCAGUGAAUCAUCGAAUCUUUGAACGCACAUUGCGCCCCUUGGUAUUCCAUGGGGCAUGCCUGUUCGAGCGUCAUUUGUACCUUCAAGCUUUGCUUGGUGUUGGGUGUUUGUCUCGCCUUUGCGUGUAGACUCGCCUUAAAAUAAUUGGCAGCCGGCGUAUUGAUUUCGGAGCGCAGUACAUCUCGCGCUUUGCACUCAUAACGACAGCGUCCAAAAGUACAUUUUACACUCUUGACCUCGGAUCAGGUAGGGAUACCCGCUGAACUUAAGCAUAUCAAUAAGCGGAGGG
rnacentral:misc_RNA from 1 species